CGGGGCAGCAGAGGGGAGGAUAAGUAAAUUGCGUAGCGGGGCUAAGGUGGGUUUCCACGCCGAGGCGCGGCACUUGCGCACGGUCCCUUACGUAACCGUCAGCUGGGGAUUCCCUAGAGGGGGUCACUCUAUUCAACCAUUACACAGACCCCGUCCGCUCCGGCGCGCCCGGGCUGGGGCCGCCGCACCCGAGGCCGCGGCCGAACGCGGCAGCGGCGGCUCCUCACAAAAUGGCGGCGCCCAUGGAAGCGGCAGCCCCAUUUUGUGCCCGGCAGAGCCUGUCAACAAAACGCCGACUUGGCCGAGCUUGAGGAACAGAAGGCGGCGGCUUCCUUCGCGUCGCGGAGGGAGGAGAGCGAAGGAUUUCGCCGCCCUCCCGCCGCAGAGACGAGACUCCUCCAUCGGGGGCGCGCGUUGGGGGAGGGAGGGAGGAGAAGGACGCGGGGCGGCGGCUGCGUUGUCCCGGCGCGGGGGAGGGGACGGCGAAGGGCUGGGAUCGAGGGCUACGGGGAGGGGACGGCGAAGGGCCGGGAUCGAGGGCUACGGGGAGGGGACGGCGAAGGGCCGGUCUCCGGGGCCGCCCGGGGCGGGGGCGCUGCUCUCGCCCGUCCUGAGGGACCGUUCCGGUGUCGCUCCCCGCCGAGCGAACUGGGUCACCGCCGGCGCUUAAUUACUGUUUAUUUCGUUGUAGUGCGUGCCUGGUGAAUAACCCGGCUAUUAGGGCGAUGCUUCCAGUAACACUAUCCAGCACCGAGCUUGGCUCGUCGGCUUGCGGCUGAAAUAGCUGGAGAUCCCCCGUGAUAAGGUUGGGAAGCUGGUGAUUGAAAACUACCGGGUUUGGUGCUUUGGUGUUGACGGGGGGCUCCCCUCUUUUUUGAGGUAGAGAAAGAGCUUGUAAAUUUAAGACUUGUUCUUUUCCUGGUUCGACUGUCAUAAUGUGCAUGCGUGUUAAUGGUAUUAAAUAAAAGUGAUGACCUGUUUCUGGUGGAAGUGAUAAUUUUAAAUUUAUCGAAAUUACAGUGAUACUUAAGAAUUAUGAAAUAUCUAUCUUGUUGCGUAUUAAAUAGUCAAAGACUAAAUGUACGGGAAAGAAAAGGGGAAAAAUCUUGCUAUUUAGAAAAAAGAAAUCCCUUUAUUGAUCUCUGUAGUACCAGUCAAUGCAAUUUGAAUUUAUUUAAGGUGUAAAAUAAAACCUUAAUAUAAAAAUAUAUAAAAAAUAUUAUAAACAGCUUAUGGAAGGUACAGUAUACAAUGAAUUUUGGUGUGUAAGUGCUGUGUGUGGAAUGAGCGUUCUUGCAGACAGAUGGUGCAGAUCCAGUAACUGAAUUGUCACUGUUCAGUAGCGGUUGGAUGUUGGUUUGGGUUUUUGUGUGUGUGUAUGUUGGUUGGGUUUUUUUAAGUAUAACUGUGCUAAGUGAAUCUUCUGAUAGCUCUAACCCGUGUUGCAGUUUCAAGCUUCUUUCUUAAAUCUCUAAUAUUACAUUUUGUGCCUAUUACCUAUCUGCCAAACUGCUGCUAUCCAGAGAGCAGGCCACAAUUGCUGUUGUCAGUGUGCUACUAUGCAUUUGCUUUCUGGUGGGUGAAAUAUUCUUGCUCAUUUCCAUUUUGUUUCUGCUUGUGCUGUUCUUGAAUUGUGGCAGCAUUACAUUUUGAUUAGAGUAACUAGUAUCGCUAGCUGAAUGUUGCUUACAUUAAACAGUAAACUCUAAAUCUUUAAAGACUGAAGUUAGUGUAUUUUAUUUCUUUGUGUGUAUAUAUGCCUGUGUAGAUAUGUGUUUUGAGAAAAUGCAGCCUAUUAGAUGGGCUAGAGAGGAGAGUAAAUUCACUCUUAAGACUGUAGGCAGUAGCAUAUAAUAUGGGUGCAAUCUGAAAAUAAACACAAGAAUUGCAGGAUGAGCAUCUGGUAGAGGACAAAGGGUCAGAAAGCCAGUAGUAAAUUUUAGUGACAUUCGUCUCUAAUGUUUUUGGUUUUUUUUUUUUAUUACUAGAAUUGUUACAAUUUGGAGUUGGCUGCCUAUGUUAGGCUAGAGACCUGACUGUUUGCACAGCUUGCUGUGACAAAUGUACUCUAACAAGGGGCAUUUACCUAGCAAGGAAUUAGUCCUGCCCCUUCUUAUUGAAUAAUAUUUUAACAUUCUUUAUUACAUAUUAAUGUGCUAGCUGCUUUUAAAGAUGCUCCUACUUUGUAUAGACCAUAAGUGGCUAGUCUUCAGUGGAACAGUAUUGAAUGAUAAAUUAAAUGAACUGCUAAGGAGUAUAGCAAAGGUGGAGAAGCAGAUGUACAAUAUUGCAGGCUACUUCUGUGCACCCAUAUGGAAUUUCCACUACAAUUAGUGGAAUUUAACUACCCCGGUUUAGCUAAUCUUUUAAAAUAAAUAAAUAAAUGCUUUUGUGUUGAGAAGAACCAACUUCUUAAGUGGUUUAUUUAAAGGGCUUAUGACACUUCCCUCCUAGAUCUCCUAACAUGUUGUGCGCCUUCCUCAUUUCGACUUAUCUUUGUGGCAUUUAUUACUCAGGAAAUAAAAUGAAAGAAAAAUGGUCUACAUAGGCCCAGUUGUAAAUGCCUACGUAAAUUGUUAAACAUUUUUAAAAAAAGUUACCUCUGAUUAUUUUAAUUUUUAAUACUUGCUGUUCUUUGCAAAGGUCCACCUCUUGAAAUCAAUGAAUUUUAUGAUCAUCUAAACUCUAAAUUAAAAGCACUUCAAAGUUGAGGGGUUUUUAGUUGUGCAAUGAAGUAUGAAAGAUGGAGCAGGAAAACCCUAGAUGCAACUGAAGGAGAAGUAAAAAUAAAAACAUAAAUGCGUUCCCCUUUGAUUUCAAAACUGCAGUGCUUUUGAAAUUGUAAUUCUUUUGUAAGUCCUGACUUAUGUGUUCUGAACACUUGGAGUUGGCAAUACUUCAACAGUAAAUUUAGAAAUAUUGUCAAAUUCAUCUUUUUCUUACAGGCAAAAAAAUACUUGCUACAUUUCUCAAGUUUUCUUUAAUGCAAAUUAUGGCUGUAAUAGUGGAAAACGUUUUGAGGUUCUAACAAGGUCUAACCAGGUCUGCAGCACCGAAGUCACAAAUGUCUUGACAGCAAACCACUGCAAGUUUUUUAAAGAGAAGAAAAAACAUAUUUGCACUUAGUAAAUAUACCUGUUUCAGGCUUUACCCUUGUGACUGCCUUUGUGUUUGUGUGAUCUGUGGAUGGCACACUUCCCCUGCCGCUGUAGCUGCACAUGCUGCUUGAAAUAGCACUAGUGUGAUUCAUGUUACCGGUUGGAUGUGUGAAAGUUUGAUUGAGAUGCAAAACUCAAGAGGGUUCUUCUGAAUGUUAAAAGGGAGCCAUGCUCAGAAAUACGGAAACGAUCAGGUUAAAUCUGGCUCAAACUCUAAGGCGUUUUGUAGAGUAGGAAUGAUGGUAUCAUACAUGGGUGGAGAAGGUCGGGUUAACUUAAAGUAAAACCAAACAUGAUAACUGCAUAACAUUUGUUAGAAGUCUUAAGUGGCACAAUGCGACUAGCUGGAGAGUUCUCAGUAAUGCAGAUCUGCCAGCAAUAUUUGCUUGUCACGUAGCACUGUCUCAUCUUUAUAUUUUUACCAAUUUGAAUGACAGUCAACGGUAGCUAAAAAUAUAUAGAAAUUUCUCUGAGUAAGCGGUUGCCUUAGUUAACUUUUAUAUGGGCAUAAAUGAAAGGGGAAGUAGUUUGUGCAAUUGUGAACGUGUGGACAGACAAUACAUGUGACAAUUUAUGCACUUCAGUAUAAUACAUCCUGCGACAACUUCGCUGAAAACUUCAAUAGUAAAUGAAAGAAAUGUGGAUUAUGUAACACUUUAACUAAUCCAUUGAAUUUGCCCGAGCAAAUAAAAUACUUAAAAGCAGUAAAAACCCAUGAAUAUACACAGGUGUACUUUUGAAGGAGAAAAUUUUCUUGUUGUUUAAUUAUGAUUCUCAGUCUAUCUGUUGGUGAUCUACUUAAUAUGGAUUUGAUCUUAUAGACUGCUGAGAGACAAACAGCAUUGCAUUGCAUGCUGCUGUGUUGCCCAGAUAAAAGGAAGUAAGUUUGUUUUCAGACUAACUGAAAGGGGAGAAAAAAAAUACCAAACUUACUGCGUGGAUCAAAUGCGCAUGGCACACUGAACUUGAAAAUCACACUUAAAGCAUUGGACUCAGACUGUUUAGCUGCAGUAGUGUCUCGCAUAACUGAAAAAAAGCUAGUGGGAAAAAGUUUUUGAGGUUGCUUACAUGUAAAGGGCUAUCAAAUGUAGUGAAGCAUUGGUUCCAGUUGCUUGCUGUAACAUGAUUGCGUUUGGAGCUCUUAGAGGAAUCUAUGACUGUUAAUCCCUAGAUAUUAUAAAACUGCUACUGUUAAUGAGUUCUGAACCUUAAAGUAAGAUCUGUCUUACACAGAAUCUUGUUACAAACUCGAUAACUGAAGUGGUGUAGGAAAAAUUAGAAGAAAUGGAGUAUAUAUGCUCCUGUAUAUUCCAUCAGUCCUUGAUCUUGGAAGCUUCCAGAGCUAACAGGAUUGCUAUGUUUAAGGACAACUGCUGCACAGAACUGGGGCAGUGUCUGGAUUUGAGCUGGGAUGUACCUAAUAUUGUUUAGAGAAGAGUGACCAUAGUCCCCUCACCCCUUACCACAAGGCAAAAGUACAGUUUGUGGAUAUUUGGGAUAGCAGCGGUAAAACAUGUUACGCAAACUGGUCUGCUUAGCCUUGUCCUUAUCGAGCUUGUGUGCAGAGUGGGGCAACUGCAGGCCAGGGAAAGGUCUUUUUCCUCCAUGAGACUUGCCUGUGUAAGAUGGGGAACAGUACAGCAGCUGAGAAUUGUUGCAGUCCUGCUGAAGAAGGAAGAGGGAGAUGGAAGAUAUGGGCUCAAGCAAGGGAGUGAGGAAAACCUGGUAAUUUUUGACGAGGCAACCCCCUCUCAGUUAACUUAAAGUAAAACCAAACCUGAUAGCGGCACUUCUUGUACUUCAAAUAGGUAUCUCCUUAGCUGCAGUUACUGUACUGUUUGUUUACAUCUUUUGCUAUUCAGAAAUAUUUAGUACUGUAGCUAUUCACACUGGAUUUGGAAUCUUAAGGCUGUCUUUAUCCUAGGUAUUUAUUUCAGACUCCUGUACACAAUUCCAGUGACUGAAGUCGCGUGUGGCACCUGGGACUGUGUGUAGCGAGUUCCCUGCUGUAAAUAGCAAUGCCCUGAGCUUACAGUGCGGUCUCUAGUUAUGAAACUUCUUCCUGUGUCAUUUCAUCCUUCAUCAAGUUACUCUAGUGUUAGCUUACAAAGUCAAAAUAGAUUUUUUUUUUAAUGCUACAUGUUUGCCUAUAUUUAUAAGACAAAAAGAAAAGGUCAUUUGCUGCCUGUGAAUGAAACCCUUAGAAUAUUGUGUUUGAUCUGUUAUCUCUAUUUUAGUAAGUCUGGACUCAUUCUUCACUUUGUUUUACAAAAAUGAGGUAAUGUCAUAGUUUUUCCUUCGAGAGGCUGCCAUGGUGUUCCUUUGGAAUUAGUUGUGCUUAGCACUUAUGAAAUUGGAGUUGUGUGUCUUUAAUCCCAGUGUUUGUAUCAUAUUUGCAGUACUGUAUAGAAAUUACGGUACCCGUUUGAUAGUGUAAGUUUCCCUAUGCUGCUUGAGUACUUCUUUCCUAAGGAAUCCCCUUCGUUUGCCAAAGCAUGCUAAUUAAGCAUGCAAAGAUGUUUUUUAAUGAUCUUUCUUUUAAAGUUUGGGUAACUAGCUGCAGCCAAGUUCAUAUGAGGAUCAAUUUACUCCUUUCUAGAAGAAAAUUUACAGAUAUUUCUUUCUUUUUCAUCUGCCAAAGAGCUCUUGGGUUUAAAUAAAGAUCUAGUAGUUUGUUUACAACUGAAUGUUAAAAUUGUGUAUAAUCGCAUAUGAACAUCAACAUAUAAACAUAUAAAAAUGAAAGUUGAGAAAUUCAGUGCUCUUUACUUAGGAGUUUUUCAUCUGGGUGACAUCAUGCAAGUGUAAUACAGUAGUCCUUAAUUGUAUCACUUUAAUGCAUGAUCAUUCAGUGUGAGACGGAUACUGCUCACUGAAUUAAAAUUCAAGUUAUAUCUCUGUCUGCAUGAUGUUUAAAUGUUUAUCUGAAUACAGGUUGGUGAGGGUUUUUUGCGCUUUCUCAGACUUUAUUCUAGAGUAAUCAUUAGGAGGGUAUCUAGAACUAAUGAGGAUCUGAGAACUAAUGAGUUCCUGAUAUUCUAAGCUAAUAGCCUUCUCAGCAUUAUAGUGAUGAUAAUGCUAAGGCACAGAGGAAUUCAGUACAAGAAUGGCUGCUAAUUUUGGAGCGUUCUUCAUUUAAUCAAAGCACAGUUUCAAUGGAUAUGAUUUACAGGUUAUUUGAGAGUAGAGACGGUCCAGCAAUAGGAGCUUGAGCCAUAAGUUUAAAGCCACAUUAAAUUCAGGCAUGGGCUUUUUCAUGAAUCUGUGGUCCUGUCUGCCUUAGUAGGGCUUUCCUAGUGCGAGGUUAUUGGGAUGCUUUGUUCUUUGCAGGGUUUGCAGCACUCAGAAGCUGCUGCCCAGAAGACUGUGUAUGAACGGUAGAUGCUGCUCGAUAUUUCUGCGUUUAGUUUCCAGAGCCUCAAAUUUGUAGCUCAGAAAACGAGGAGGAGUUCAUUAGAGGUCACCAGUUCGACAUAAGAAACUCACUGCUGUGUGUAGAUCGCUGCUAAAGACAGAGAUAGCAAUGUUUGAUAGCAAUCGCUUGCUGUACCCCUCAGCAUCCCUCCCUCCGCGGGGUUCUGCCGGCUCGGCCCGGGUGCCAGAAGAGGGAGCACGCAGCCCAGCGCAGCCCCGGCCGCACCUGCCGUCCCACUGCUGCCUCCGGUGGGAGGAACUGUUCGACCAGCCUGCAGCAUCCCUCAUGCCACGGAAUUUUCAGAAACCCCAGUGUCUAGCUUUUAAUUUUAUUUUUUUCUGUGCAUGUGCAGUUUGAGAUUCAAAAGCUUAUUGUUUUACCAUGGUUUUCAAUGGGAAAACUGUCCAAAAGGCGUAUCCCUGAUUCAAAGUCUACCCAACCACUAAAUUUCAAAUUCCCCCUUCAAAGUAAAGGCCUUCUCCAGGUACAUUAGGAAGUUUUUUUCUGUACUUGAGUGAAAAUAGGAGUUUUUUUCCAACCCCCUUUUCAUGCUUACAUUCUUGUGAAAAAGUUUUUUGAAAACGCAUCAGCUUGAGGAAGACACCUUCUCUGGAAAACUUCAUGCCAGGUAUUUUUAAGUUCAGAAAAACAGUAUAUCUUCAGUUGUUUCUUCUUAAAAUGCCUUCAAACAUGAAGUCUUAUCAGUCUGGAAAAUAAAUCCUAGUAGCUCUUUGGCUCUAUUUGCAUUUAUAGUCACUAUUUGCAAUGUGAUUAUGAAAUACCUGUACACUGGGCUCAAAUACAGGCGGGCAGUUAACCACCGAUGUGCUCAUCUCAUUCCAAGAUAAUGCUAAUCACUUAGAAUAACACUGUCCAAUACAGAGAAAGUGUAUGAAAAGAGGGGAGCGAUUUCUGUAUUUGUAAUACAAGUACUAAAACUAUUCCUUAGAGUGGUGAUUUUGGUGCUGGCUUUGUCAAAUGGUCUACGGCUCUGAGUAGCUGAAGGAAUUAUGUCGUGUAAGGUAUGCUAACUGGACCUUCGGAAGUAUCUGAACUGUACCUCGUUGCUAGGUAGAGCUGUGUUCACCCCAUUCAGUCCUAACUGUGGUUACAGGAUCACAGUCCAAGAUGGAACAGCUUGGUCAACUAGCUGGGUGUUCUAGUAGAAUUCCCAAGGGAUUACUUAGUUUGCUAAUCUAUGCUCAAGGGCUUUGGUGGCUUCAUUGCUAUCAAAGGCUUAGCCUAGUAAGUACUGCCUGCUAUUUCUAUUGUUUGUUUGUUUAUUUGUUUAAUUUUUAAGAAAAGACAGCCCAAUCAAUGACUAGUGAACAUAAUGUUAAGAGCUUUUUUGUCCUCACUGUGCUGUUGCCAACUUCAGUUAGGUGUGAGAAUGGUAGAAGAGCUUUACACAGCUGUUUGCUUUAUUUGUCCUUGCCCUAUCUCCAUCCCAUCCUCACAAAAUGUUUGGGACAUCUUUUAACAAUAUAAUUAGAAUACAGAAAACUACUCCGUGGUCACAUGCCUUUAAUAAGGUGUGGGGUAGCCCCACAAAAAAAAAAUCCAGAACAAAACAAAAAAAACCCCAAUGGUUAAGGGAGAAGGAAAGCCUCGCAGUUCCUUUUAUUCUAUCUUCACAAGCGUGGUUAGCGUAGAAUUGAGAGUUCUGUGGCUUAAAGUUAAUAACAUUGUUCUAUUAAAAAGUUCCUCAUUAACUAUUCCACUAGAUAUUUGGAUAUUAUGCUGAACAUUUGUUAUAGUGAAAGGUCACCAAAAGUCUGCUUUUUGGUGCUAUCAUGAUUCCACAAGAGAUACAUAAAGGAAAACUUGGGGUUUGUUCUUGCUGGUUUCAAUGUCAAGUUGGAGUUCCUGGGUGUAGAAUCGGUGAAGCUGAUGAUUUCUGUGUGCCUGCAAAUGGUUCAGUGCCAGCUGGAGAGAAACAGGCACUUUUCAAACAAAUCAUUGAAGCAGCUUUAGUGUUCUUUGACAUCUUUUCAUGGCAAAUGAGGGGAUGUGGUGUUUGCAAAGUUUUGAAGGAAAAAUUGGCAGGAUUUUAGAUGGCUUUUUAGGUAGUCCAACAGAUCUUCCCCUGCCUUGGGAGAUGACAGAACUCCACCACAAACGAUAUACUAUGCAGUCACUGGCCUUCUAAAAAGCUGUUGGUGCACACUUUCAAGACCAUAGGUCACCAGGUGUCUUGAAAAUGGGUUGUCCUGCCUCGUGGAGUUUCCCUUUACUUUCCCGUUCAUCCACUGCCACAGUGGAGUGCAGCACACUGGAUGUUAGGAACAAAUUCAAAAGUUAGCAAAAGCAAAGCCACCAAUUACCGAACAUAUUUUGGGCUAAUUUGUUGCCUUAGAAAAGCUUGCUGAUCUUAAAUAGAAGGGAGCAAUAAAUAUUAAAGCUUACAGCUUUGUAACCGCAAAUAAAGUUACAGGAAGUUUAACGUUUGGGAAGGAAGUAGUAAAUAGGCAGGUGCGUGUAGCGGGGUGUGGCGGGAGGGGAGAUCGCUGCAGACCAGCUAUCUAGGGUGGCACAUUGGGCAUUGAAACUAUCAAAUGCAGCACUGUACCAGCCUCGCUGAGUGUGUCAUUCUUCGUGCUGGUGCCCUCUGCCUAUCAGCAAAAGACCAGGAGCUCUUCAAGUCACAGCUCCUCUAGCUUCUUCCCAGACCUGGACUCAAAUCCCUAAAAGUCGUGAUAUGAAGCAGGGAAUGCCCCGCACAAAUUUCUCCUGGGGACAGUGCUGAGGUGGAGUGACCUGCCACAGUGAAUUUCAAACAGGCAGGUAUGUUAUGAGCACUUUGCAUCAGGACCACAGUAUUCUUUAGUGCUACAGCUGUGUCAAAGGAGCCUUCCUCCUCACCUUCUCUGUGGCAGGUGAUAAGGAUAUUCGCAUCUUGAAGGCCAAGUGAGAUUUCUACUGCCAAGACAGUAAAAGUGCAAGUCCUUAUUCUAGGGAAGACCAGGUACCAGACACCUGUCAGCACCUGAAGCAUGGAUUAAGUGCAGAAAAUCCAAUGACAGUUUCUUAACACAGAGCAGUCACAGCCGUACUGAAUGAGAUCUGCCUGUAUGUGAGUUUCCUUAUCAACACCACAUUCACACCAGCAGACAGAGACCAAAAGAGCUGAAGAUCUGCCCAGCUUUUGGAGGGCCAUGGAUUGUCCACCCGUUCUGCUCAUCCUGCUGUCUUCCCAAAACCCUAGGGCCAGGAGAAGACCUAGAUCCACCAUCCAUGGUUUCUACCUAAGGUGCCCUUAAGUUACUGGCAAGCUGUGGCUUUUGUUGGACUGAGGUCAACAGGACACACAUAUUCCCUUGGAAUCGCUCAUUUUAGCCACUGAGAGGUUGUCUUCUUUUUGUAGUUGCCUAUGCCACUGUAUCUGUUGUUCCUGCAUCGCUUAAGGUAAUAAUUGCUUCUGCUGCCACACUAGUGCUCUUGUCACCAUACAUAUACAUAAAACUACAAAACAUCAUCUACUCGAACAAUGUGGAAAUGAGUAUAUUUCAUAUUUGUAGAUAUUAUAUAUAAGUUUUUUAAUCUCAAGGUACAACCCAUAAUCAUCAUGUUCAUGGUUACCAACAUAAAAAAAAGCCAUCUCUUUUUGUUUAAAUUGGAAGUCUCAAUUUAAAAUGAAUGCACUUGUCCUUAAAAAUACUAUUUACAUUCAUGGCAAUGACAGCCUGUUCUAAGGCCUAAAUUUACUCUGAUUGUUCUCAGACAUUAGUGAGUUCAAAAAUACUUUUUUUUCCAUUGGGAAAAAUAUCUUCUGUAUCACUAUGGCAAACAUGAGUUAAAUUAUUUUGUCCAAUAUUAUGCGUCACAUUGCAUGAGUCUCCACAAUGGAUCAUGAGGGUCUUGGAUUUUUUUUUUCUUCAGAGCUUUUUCAGGUUCUGCUCCAUGGAAGAAGCUUUUCUGAAUUAUUUCCAAUGGAAUUUUCAGUUAUGAAGUGCAAGCAAAAUAUUUUCUUCAUUUGUGUUAUUUACAUCUAAAGCUGAGAGAAAGAGUUUAAAAAGCAGAAAAAUGUUUAUCUUACAAUUUACAAGCAAAACGCUAAACGGACAAGAAAAAGAUAGGCUGAUUCUCAGAGUUAAAGAAUAUCUGGACGUAUUUGCAAAGAUCUUCUUGCACGUAUGGUGCUUUUCAGAAGUGCUACAGCAUCUUAUCAUCACUGAUUUUGAUUGAGACGAAGCAGCUUUCCUACUGAGAUAUUUCUGAAAUCCCAGAAGGUAAUGAACUGCUUUAUUAGGCACCCAAUACCUUUGGAAAUCAGUCCCAUGAUGACCAGAAACAAUUUGUCAGUUCACUACAAUUAAUUUUCUUCUGUAUAAGAAACUAGUUCUAAAUACAAAGCUUAGUUUAAAUACAUUUUUUUCCACUGUGUUAACAGCAGAUAAAAGGUUAUUUAUUUCACCUGCAGAAACAACUUAAUUUUAACAAGCUCUUUUAGUGCAUUCCUAAAAUUUAAUUCUACAAUUUAUCUGAAUACUACUUCUAAAAAAUUUAAGAUAAAAAUUAUCACAAGAUAAAGUGCCCAUCACUAUUAUCAGACAUAAGUAUAUAUGUACAACUCAUCAUCUGCAUAAAGAUGUGUGGGACAGGUAUUAUAAAAAUACCAAGUUUAGCAUAACUAUAGCCAAAGUUGCAAAACAUCACGUCAAUCAAUGAAAAUUAAACUUUACUCAGGAAAUAACUAAGUGGUCUACUGUGACCAUGCCCGUAGGCAGAGCCAGUGGGGCAGUGCAGAAUGCAGCCUAAGCAGGGUCUGAGCCCAGCAGUGCGCCUGUCGAGCUGGGAUGCUGCAAGUGCCUCGGCACAGUGGGCACAGUCUGCCUUGGAGAAGGGCUUGGGUGGUUUGUUUGCUGCCCAGCACUCGCUUGACUCAGAGAAAUGAAGGUCUAUACCUGUUAACACAGCACCCAGAUUCAUCUCAGUGAGGUUAGGAAAGGGGGACACAGAGUAAAGCUGGGAUCUGCUUGUAGUGGAAAUACCAUUAAAAUCUUGCUGAUCACUUGCUGUGAUACUGAGUGCUUUCUGAUCUGCGAACAGUGUGAAAGAUGGUCCCCUCACCUCGAGAGAGGUGACAGCUCUUCAGGGAACAGCACUACGUGUGGCACAUGAGCAGCCUAGACUGUGGUCUGUGGGGACGAAGCGAUGCCAACAGCAGCAGUGUUGGAAAGCCUCAUCAGGAUGAAGGUGGGAACUGAGAGGGUUAAUUUCACAGCAUGUGUUGCUCUGGUGGGGCACUUACUG